rnacentral:rRNA from 1 species
GACAGAGGAGGCGAGCGCUAUCCGGGGUUAUUGGGCGUAAAGGGUACGUAGGCGGCUGGUCAAGUCUGGGGUCAAAGGCCACAGCUCAACUGUGGGAAGGCCCUGGAAACUGACCGGCUAGAGUGAGGUAGGGGUUGCGGGAAUUCCCGGUGUAGCGGUGAAAUGCGUAGAGAUCGGGAAGAACACCUGAGGCGGAAGCGCGCAACUGGGCCUCAACUGACGCUGAGGUACGCAAGCUAGGGGAGCGAAGGUG